rnacentral:tRNA from 1 species
GCGCUCGUAGCUCAAUUGGAUAGAGUGUCUGACUACGGAUCAGAAGGUUAGGGGUUCGACUCCUCUCGGGCGCGCCA